CUCUAAGUAUCGAAUAAUCCUAUACCCCUAUAGAAAAUCUUAUGUUGGAACUAGUAACAAGAAGAAUGAACUUCUCUUAAAUGCAAGCAUAAUUCAGAAAGGACAAACCACUGAUAAUUAACGCCUUUGAUUAUUAAUCAGCAACCUCCCAAGAAAAACCUUAUUUUUCCNCGCGUUAACCUGACACAAGAGCAUUUCAAGAAAGAUUAAAAGAAAGAGAAGGAACUCGGCAAAUAUUAACCCCGCCUGUUUACCAAAAACAUCGCCUCUUGAAUAAAAAUAAGAGGUCCAGCCUGCCCAGUGACAAAUGUUCAACGGCCGCGGUAUCCUAACCGUGCGAAGGUAGCGUAAUCACUUGUUCUUUAAAUGAGGACUAGUAUGAAUGGCACCACGAGGGUUAUACUGUCUCCUCUAUCCAAUCAGUGAAACUAAUCUCUCCGUGAAGAAGCGGAGAUACAUCUAUAAGACGAGAAGACCCUAUGGAGCUUUAAAUUUCCCCUCAAACGCCAGACCUCUUAAACAAGUCACUAACUUUACUACAUUAACCUUAACGUUAUUGAGGGCGACUUUUAGGUUGGGGUGACCGCGGAGCACAAAUAAACCUCCAUGUUGAACNAGGCCUCUAAACCUUGAGCAAAGGGCUACGACCCGAUGCACUAAAAAAUUAACACCUAUUGACCCAAUACACCCUUGAUCAACGAACCAAGUUACCCUAGGGAUAACAGCGCAANUCUACUUCAAGAGUCCCUAUCGACAAGUGGGUUUACGACCUCGAUGUUGGAUCAGGGUAUCCCAGUGGUGCAGCCGCUACUAAUGGUUCGUUUGUUCAACGAUUAAAACCCUACGUGAUCUGAGUUCAGACCGGAGUAAUCCAGGUCAGUUUCUAUCUAUAAANNGAGCUUUUUCUAGUACGAAAGGACCGAAAAAGCACGGCCCAUACUUAACGCAAGCCGUAGCAACCAAUUUAUGACAUAGCCUCAAUAAAAUUAUGUAUCUUACCCAGCCNNNCAAAAAAAGGGCA
rnacentral:rRNA from 1 species